UGAAUGGAGUGCCUAUUAGGUACU
rnacentral:siRNA from 1 species